UUUUAGGGCCACACCUGCGACGUAUGGAAGUUCCCAGGCUAGGGGUUGAAUCGGAGCUACAGCUGCUGGCCUACACCACAGCCACAGCAAUGUGGAAUCCAAGCUGUGUCUGUGAACCACACCACAGCUCUCGGCAACACCUGAUCCUUAACCCACUGAGCAAGGCCGGGGAUUGAACCUGCAUCCCCAUAGAUCCUAGUUGGGUUUGCUAACUGCUAAGACAUGAAGGGAACUCUGAGUCUGAGCUUCUUGAAGGCAGAGACAAGCUCGUUUCAUCUCUGUAGCCCCGAUAACUACACGCAGUAGACUGAGUGAGCCUCAUCAUCUGCGCUUAUAAGACCCAAGGGCAGAAAUCACUUUUAGUAAGGCUGUUGUUUUUGUUAAGUUUCUCUGAAACUCCUAAGGAAAAAAUAUUCACGAAUAGUUGAUUCUGUUUGAGCCAUUUGGUAAGAUUCCCUGACAAAGUGAUCCUGUGUGAUUCAGAUGUGGGGGUUGGUUGGUUUUGACAUAAAUAUCUCCCUAUUUUGUAAUUUGGAGACAUCACAUUUGGAGAGUGAGGACAUGGAGCACUAUGAACACACAUUUGGCUCAUGAUGUGAAGACAUCUAAUAUUCCAAAUUAUUCCAGCCUCUUGGUAUUUUAAAGACCUCAGGAAAGCAGCCAAGUUCCCAUUUUCUUACAUACUGCCGUGAGGGAGGCACAGUAUAUAAAAGCCCAACACCAACUGGCACUUAAUGGGUUAUAGCUGCAUUGUCUCAUGGGUUAGAGGUGCAGUCAGUCAGACUGCAGAGUCUUUGAGAACAAUGCCAAUUAAUUUGCUUAUUUCUGUAUGUUCCAAGGAGCUGAGCAUACAGCAGGUGCUUAAUACAUGCAUACUGAUUAAUACAAUGCAACACAUAAAUCAUCUGCGCAGAAAGCACUGGGCACAGUAGUCAGUAGGGCUGCACCCUGAAUCCCUUAGUUGCUGAUGUACAGAGGAAAGCAGGCUGUGUAGAUCAGGCAGGAUCCUGAGAAUAAGUGGGGAUACCAGGGAUUUCUCAUGCUGUACCUUCUAGUAAGCCAAAGCAUGAUGCUGGCGGCAACUUACAUGUGCCAAGAACUGCUGUAAAUAUUUCACAUACAUUUACUCCUUAAAUGUUAGCUGAAUGGGGUUGUACGAGCGUUACAUCCAAGCCAGGCAACACCGAGUUGUUCGUCAAAGAAGGAGCAUCCCCAGGUGGCGGUUGGCAAACCUGUGAGGCACCAGCACUGGCGCGGGGCAGAGGGUGGAGCCCGGCAGGUCUGCUGGCUGCCUGCCCUGGGUGGUCCUCUGCCAUCUCCACUGAGUCAAUUUUCUCCCCAAGGGCAAGGGGACUACAGCUAGAUAUGACCCAGAAGGGCAGCGCUGAGCACUUGAUAGACACUCUGUGGUGCUGGGCACUCUAGCAGGUGCGCCAGGUAACCCCAAGGCCAAGUCAGACACAUGCACCGCCAGGCAAGGGAGGAAAGCACCUGCCCAUCCAACUCGGCCCUUUGUAGCAAAAACCUGUGAGUGCUCUGCUUACUGACUGGAGGCGCUGACAGGCUGACCAACCUGGGGCACCUGUGCCUCACCUGCCCGUCAGCCCACCCUCGGGAAGGCUGUCAGCGCUACUGCAGGCAGGGUGUUGGGGGAGCCUGGGACAGCCCAGUAGGAUGAUGGGAUUUCAGACGGUGAGCACAGGUCUGUGCAGAUGUGUUCACCUGCCAGGGGAUGUUCCACUGCCACUCAGAGUGCAGCCGAGGGACCAGCAGCUCAGCACCUCCGGGAGUUAUUUAGAUGUGCAGACUCUCAGAUUCUCCCCAGACCUGGGGUCUCAGAAUCUGCCCUGGAUCAAGGUCCCCAGGUGAUGCCUCUGCAGGUUAAAGGUUGAGAACCACUGCUUUAGACCAGCUGUUCUCGACCCUGGUCGCACAUCAGAAUCCCCUGGGAGCCUCAAAAUCUCCUGCCUCUCAGCUCAUACCCCAGCCCAAUUGCGGCUGUGGGUGCCAGAUGACUUCAAGUACAGCCUUGGUAAAGAACCACCGUUCUCCAGCUCUGAGUGUGGCCCCGCAUGUCAGCAGGUGAGCCUUCGACUGGGGCACCUGCAGGGAUGCUUGCCAGGUGUAAGGACACGGUGGUCAGCCACAAGGACAAAGAACUGCCACCAGCUUGGUGCCUGCACCAUCCAGGCAAUGGAAGCCUGCAUGGCCCCCAGCACGUCCUGGUCUGUGACAUGCAUCACCGGCUCGGAGAGAGGGCUCAUCACCUAGGUCCAGCCUCUUCUGAGAGGUGCCUCUGACAACACAGGCUUAGGGUCACCCCAAAAGGUCCACCCACUAAUUGUGGCUGGGCUGCACCAGAAGGGCUGGACAACUGGAGUUUCAGGGAAGGGGCAGGGUGCUGUCCCUGGAGCCAGGUGGGAACAGGAGGGGUGACCGAUCCAGAGCACAUGCUUCUGAGCUCAGUGCUACUGUCUUUGAACCAAAAGGUUUUCUUUUGAGUCCCUGAAGAUCAAACAAAGGAGAACCAAGGGACUGCAGCCUCCCAGGAAUGGGAACCCACUCAGUGGAGAGGGGGUUAAAGAUCAUUUAGACUACAGGUCACUUGAACUUGGUGGCAGAGACAGUGACUCAUUCCUGGACAUUACUGAGCAAAGGAGGUCACUACUCUUCCAACUGACCCAAGACAGGAGCUACAGACAUGGCCCUGGCCCAAGCUGGUCGAUGUAGUUCCAUCUCCUGGAAAGAGUGGUUGCUUCAGGAAGAGCUGAGUGACUCAUCUCAGGCCAAGGAGAGUGAGGCUCAAGGCUUCUAUGGAAAUGCUGAAAGAGGGUAUUUCUUUUCUGCUGGGUCUGGGAGGAUGGGAGAUUAGAGAGGAAAGGAGCACCAAGAUAUGAAGAGGAAAAGCAAAGCACCUGGAGGCUCUGUUAGAGUCCUGGAUCUAGCUAUUCCUGAAGUCAGCUAUCAGAGAUUUUUCCAGUUACCCAAGCUACAGAGUCUUUCUAUUUUUUUAAAAAAAANGCCAAACAAGCCUUUACAAGCUUUAUUUGCAAAAGAAAGAGUCCCAACUAAUUCCCUGAACAAACAGGGGCAGUAUGAGUGACAUCGAACCAUUUGAACCCUCUGGAGCUGCCCGGAUAUGCUUUGUUUGGUUCUAGUUUUAGAUCUUUAGGACAAAGGGGUUUAGCUGCACCCAGGACAGGCUGGGGCAAACAAAAAGGCAGGUAUCAUUAAAGGAAGAGUGUUCAUUGCAGAUUUACACAGGGCAGAGGGGCAACCCCUCUGUAUCCGAGUCACCUUUGAACAGCUCAGUAACCAGCAAAAUAAGCCAAGUCCAAGUUCCACUUCCUGCACAUUCCCAGUGUCCUCUGAUGGCCUUGCUUCUUCCAUUAGGUGGGAAACAAUCUGGCAAAGGAUGAAUGGCUGAGGCUUUAGAAGAAGACAGAGCCAGGUGGGACCAGGUAGUGGCAGCCAAGGCCCUUGGGUGGGAAGGCUAAUGAGAGGUUCAGGACAGCCUGCCUUAGAUGUGUCACGUGCAUCCUCAGCCCCAGCGAGAGCAGAGUGGCAGAAGGACUCCUGGGCUCCAGGGGAGGCCUGGGUGGAGCAGUUCACCAAACUCAAAAGGACCACAACUAGAGAAGACUCAACGCCAAGCCAGAGAGACCGGCGCAGAGGCAGGGGGGAUGGAGGUCUCGAUGGACUGGAUGGAUGGCCCCGAGCGCCAGUGGCGUUUCUCCCACCCAGACCCCAUGCACCACAGUCCACCUCCCAGGACUGGGGUGUGGCCCACUGGGUGCUGAGGCCUGGAAGGAACACCAUGCCAGCUGAGAUUAAGACUGGUGGCCAUGCACCCUGGGGGCUCAGGGCGGAAAUGAAGCUGAGUUGUUGAAAAACCAAGUUCUUUCUUGGGCACCUACCUGGGGGGCCUGAGACCAGCACAUGGGGAGUCGGCCUGGGGCUUGGCUGACAGCAGAUACACAGUUCCCACUGGCCCCUGACCACCAGGCGAAGAGCACAUCUGUGCACUAACACAGACACAGCUUGUGGGGCCAACCAGAGGUGAUAAAAUCCUACGCCAGAGAGAGGGAUAAACCCGGCCCUGAGCAGAACAGGAAGAACCCUGUGUUGCUGUCUGCGCAGGAGCCCCAGGUGUCACUUACCAGCCAGGCCUGGGUCCUCAUCUGUCACAGGACCUGCCAAGCAAACCCGGAUGAGAUGAUGUAAUGCGUAAGGAGGAUGGAACUAGUGGGAAGGCUUGCUGCUCGCCGUUAUUUUUGGCAUCUCUCAGAACGGAGCACAUGGCGCCCCCACACACCACCUCCACACAAGGCCUGCUCUGGCAGUCCCGUCCCCAAUGCGCAGCAAGGUGGAAACAGUGCACCCACAGGAGCCGGUCUGUGGCUGGGGAGCAGCCCGUGCUCAGCGAGAGGAGCCACAGACCCACAGGUGCCCCAUCCGCCCAGAGACACGGGGCCAGCAGAGGGCGUGAGGGGACUGUGGGUUAAAACCCGGUACCAAGGAGGCCCUGGAAGCACAGAGCCAACACCUGCACCUUCAUGCCCAGAUGAGCAGCCCUGAGUCCCAGAGAAGAGAGGGGCGAGAGGGGGGAGGUGGAGGAGAGAGAACAGUUAAGAUGGUAAGGCUGGACGGGAACCCCACCUUCAUCCUUGGAAGCCAGCCAGCUUGGCCAUGCUGCCUUGACAUUCUUGGCCCACCCCCACAAUCCCACCCUGCUUCAGUGGGAAGAGGGAGACAUGACGAUCAUCUCAUCACCAUUUGACCCCCACGUGUAGGCACCCGCAAAAUGGGAGGAUGAAUAUGGACUCUCCUGAGAGUAAAGCAGAUGCUGUGCCCUGUCCUCAAAACCUGGAAACAGAGGCCCACUAGGUUGGGCACAGGGAGGGUAGGGAGAGGGUGCCUGGUACAGAAACAGGGGCCCACUAGGGUGUGGGGAGGAUGUGUGCAUCCAUGGCACUUAGGGGUCUGUUCCACCAGAAGGAAGUUCAAGUUCAAGCACACAGCCCGUGAUUUAUGAAGACAAUGCAGUCAAGACAGGGACUGAAAUCUGCCGUCGGGGUCGACUUAUCAGCAACUGUAAAAGGGCAGGAGAUGGGUGGCUCGGGUACUGCGGCAUCUUAACUCUAGACCUGGGUACCACUGCCCUGUACCAGGGCUGGUUUAAAGGCCUCUUUUCCUUUCUGCCAAGGAGCUGCUAACCCAGAAAAGCCACAAGACUGGGAAGAGAAAUCCCAUUUUUUUUAAAUGAUAAGAUACACAGCAGCUACAUUUUUAAGGUUCCUCAGCAGGAAUAAAUAACAGCCGAGAGCCAUAAUGAUGCUAUGAGAAGAAUGUUUAUAGUUCAGAAUGAGAGAAUUACAAAAAUAUGAUUGAUAGAGUGCAGUAAGAAUUUUUAAAAAUUAACUCAGUGAAGCUGUGUAAGAAAGAAUUGCGCAUGGGGAUGAAAAUAUGGCCUCUAGAAGCUCCGAAUUUCAGAGGUGGGAAAACUGGAGCUUUCACUUGCAACCGACUGUUUUUCAAGCCACGGAACUGAGGCUGACAGGUUCUGAAACUUGCCCCAGGACAUGAUGGAUUAGUAGCAAAAGCGAGCUCUCUUAGCCAACCAAAUGUGAUGAUGCCAAACAGCCGAUGUAACUCUAAACACUUCUAAUAACAAAACCGUAAGCAAAUGACAUUGGCCAGAAUGGGGGAAUAAGAAUCUCCAAAACAAAAAACAAACAAAUAAAAUCUCUUCUCCAGAAAAGCAAUGAAAAAGACUGGCAAAAAAAAAAAAAAGAAAAAAAAAAAAGGUUAGAAUCAACUUUGCCAGAACUCUAGAAAUUAACCAAAGCCUUCAGUGCUCCAUGGAGAUUCCAUUGCAUAUCUCAUCUCAGCACAGUGAACACUGUGGCAUUUUCUCUUGCUUUAUCCCAACCAUCUGCUGUCCAGUUCCUUAGUAGCUUUGAAAAGCAAGAGAUUUACAAUUACUCUGUAAAGAAGUAGCCCAGCAGCCACCAGAGGGAGAAGAAGUGAGGUGAAGUGUCUUCAAAGCUCCAUUUCCAGAGACUUGUC
ensembl:lncRNA